rnacentral:rRNA from 1 species
UUAACACAUGCAAGUCGAGCGCCUCGCAAGAGGAGCGGCAGACGGGUGAGUAACGCGUGGGAAUCUACCCAUCUCUACGGAACAACUCCGGGAAACUGGAGCUAAUACCGUAUACGUCCUUCGGGAGAAAGAUUUAUCGGAGAUGGAUGAGCCCGCGUUGGAUUAGCUAGUUGGUGGGGUAAUGGCCUACCAAGGCGACGAUCCAUAGCUGGUCUGAGAGGAUGAUCAGCCACACUGGGACUGAGACACGGCCCAGACUCCUACGGGAGGCAGCAGUGGGGAAUAUUGGACAAUGGGCGCAAGCCUGAUCCAGCCAUGCCGCGUGAGUGAUGAAGGCCCUAGGGUUGUAAAGCUCUUUCAACGGUGAAGAUAAUGACGGUAACCGUAGAAGAAGCCCCGGCUAACUUCGUGCCAGCAGCCGCGGUAAUACGAAGGGGGCUAGCGUUGUUCGGAAUUACUGGGCGUAAAGCGCACGUAGGCGGAUUGUUAAGUUAGGGGUGAAAUCCCAGGGCUCAACCCUGGAACUGCCUUUAAUACUGGCAAUCUCGAGUCCGAGAGAGGUGAGUGGAAUUCCGAGUGUAGAGGUGAAAUUCGUAGAUAUUCGGAGGAACACCAGUGGCGAAGGCGGCUCAC